rnacentral:rRNA from 1 species
UACGUAGGGGGCUAGCGUUGUCCGGAAUCAUUGGGCGUAAAGCGCGCGUAGGCGGCCAGAUAAGUCCGGUGUGAAAGUCACAGGCUCAACCUGUGAAUGCCGCUGGAAACUGUCUGGCUAGAGUCCGGAAGGGGCGAGUGGAAUUCCUGGUGGAGCGGUGAAAUGCGCAGAGAUCAGGAGGAACACCCGUAGCGAAGGCGGCACUCUGGGCCGAUACUGACACUGAGGAGCGAAAGCGUGGGGAGCGAACAGG